rnacentral:rRNA from 1 species
CCUACGGGUGGCAGCAGUCGAGAAUCAUUCACAAUGGGGGAAACCCUGAUGGUGCGACGCCGCGUGGGGGAAUGAAGGUCUUCGGAUUGUAAACCCCUGUCAUGUGGGAGCAAAUUAAAAAGAUAGUACCACAAGAGGAAGAGACGGCUAACUCUGUGCCAGCAGCCGCGGUAAUACAGAGGUCUCAAGCGUUGUUCGGAAUCACUGGGCGUAAAGCGUGCGUAGGCUGUGUCGUAAGUCGGGUGUGAAAGGCGCGGGCUCAACCCGCGGACGGCACAUGAUACUGCGAGACUAGAGUAAGGGAGGGGGAACCGGAAUGCUCGGUGUAGCAGUGAAAUGCGUAGAUAUCGAGAGGAACACUCGUGGCGAAGGCGGGUUCCUGGACAUUAACUGACGCUGAGGCACGAAGGCCAGGGGAGCGAAAGGGAUUAGAUACCCCAGUAGUC